rnacentral:rRNA from 3 species
UAGGGAAUCUUCGGCAAUGGACGAAAGUCUGACCGAGCAACGCCGCGUGAGUGAAGAAGGUUUUCGGAUCGUAAAACUCUGUUGUUAGAGAAGAACAAGGACGUUAGUAACUGAACGUCCCCUGACGGUAUCUAACCAGAAAGCCACGGCUAACUACGUGCCAGCAGCCGCGGUAAUACGUAGGUGGCAAGCGUUGUCCGGAUUUAUUGGGCGUAAAGCGAGCGCAGGCGGUUUCUUAAGUCUGAUGUGAAAGCCCCCGGCUCAACCGGGGAGGGUCAUUGGAAACUGGGAGACUUGAGUGCAGAAGAGGAGAGUGGAAGUCCAUGUGUAGCGGUGAAAUGCGUAGAUAUAUGGAGGAACACCAGUGGCGAAGGCGGCUCUCUGGUCUGUAACUGACGCUGAGGCUCGAAAGCGUGGGGAGCAAACAGG